rnacentral:rRNA from 1 species
UACAGAGGUCCCAAGCGUUGUUCGGAUUCACUGGGCGUAAAGGGUGCGCAGGUGGGUUGGCAAGUUCGAUGUGAAAGCCCCGGGCUUAACCUGGGAAUGGCAUUUGGGACUGCAAGGCUUGAGUGCGGCAGAGGAGACUGGAAUUCCUGGUGUAGCAGUGAAAUGCGUAGAUAUCAGGAGGAAUACCGAUGGCGAAGGCAGGUCUCUGGGCUGACACUGACGCUCAUGCACGAAAGCGUGGGGAGCAAACAGG